GCUGGGUGUGGUGGCACACACCUGUAAUCUCAGUGGCUCCGGAGGCUGAGGCAGGAGGAUUUCAAGUUCAAAGCCAGCCUCAGCAAGAGCAAGGCACUAAACAACUCUGCGAGACCUUGUCUCAA
rnacentral:sRNA from 1 species